rnacentral:lncRNA from 1 species
UCAAACUUGUUGACCUUAAGCCAACAAAAUCUGACCGUCCGAUACAAGGACCUGACCUAGUCAAAUAAUCAGAAGAGAGGAACGGCCAGGGGAACACUGUCAUAUGGUGGGGGGAUCUACAUGGGAUCCCCUGGUUGACUCAACAGUCAAUCACAUGCGGCGCACUCAGGGCAAACCACUUGGCCUCCAUGCACUCUCCUCUCACCAAUAUACAAAACCAAACUUGAGAGAGAGAGAG